UAGGGAAUCUUCCGCAAUGGACGCAAGUCUGACGGAGCAACGCCGCGUGAGUGAAGAAGGAUUUCGGUUCGUAAAACUCUGUUGUUAGAGAAGAACAGCGCAUAGAGUAACUGUUAUGCGUGUGACGGUAUCUAACCAGAAAGCCACGGCUAACUACGUGCCAGCAGCCGCGGUAAUACGUAGGUCCCGAGCGUUGUCCGGAUUUAUUGGGCGUAAAGCGAGCGCAGGCGGUUAGAUAAGUCUGAAGUGAAAGGCAGUGGCUCAACCAUUGUAGGCUUUGGAAACUGUUUAACUUGAGUGCAGAAGGGGAGAGUGGAAUUCCAUGUGUAGCGGUGAAAUGCGUAGAUAUAUGGAGGAACACCGGUGGCGAAAGCGGCUCUCUGGUCUGUAACUGACGCUGAGGCUCGAAAGCGUGGGGAGCGAACAGG
rnacentral:rRNA from 1 species